rnacentral:rRNA from 1 species
UACAGAGGUCUCAACCGUUGUUCGGAUUCAUUGGGCGUAAAGGGUGCGUAGGCGGUCGCGCAAGUCGGAUGUGAAAUCUCAGGGCUCAACCCUGAAACUGCAUUCGAUACUGCGUGGCUAGAGUGCUGGAGAGGAGACUGGAAUUUACGGUGUAGCAGUGAAAUUCGUAGAUAUUCGGCGGAACACCAGUGGCGAAGGCGACUCACUGGCCCGAUACUGACGCUGAGGCGCGAAAGCGUGGGGAGCAAACAGG